ensembl:lncRNA
UACACAUCCUUAAAAUAAUGUAGGGCAGGAUUUGAUUUCAUACAUCAGGAAUUGAUUAGAAAAAGAGCUGAAAAGAAGUGAAACAUGUCAGGCUAUUACAUUAUCAGUUAAUGUUAUUUUUUCCUACUGGGGAAAUAUUUUUCAGAGAAGGAUAAACUAUUACUAAAGUGCUGUGCUGUGCUGAAAUGUUGUUUAUUUAUAGUUGCACCAUUGAGGAAAGGGAGCCUUAUUAAUUAUCUUCAAAUUUCUGAGUGUGAUUUACUGGGAACAGCGUUAUUUUCUCUACCUCAGAGGACAAAUUGAAGAAUUUCAGCCCCGGUUUGUCGUCCAACGCCAGCCGGAGCCACCCACACCUCCACCCGCAGAGAUGGAUGAACUGAGCCGAAAACUGACAGCAGAGUGGAUGGAGUUGCAUAAAUACUUUACAUCUCUCUUCACGAUCGCUCCUGCUGAGGAUGCUGGGAAAGCGGACAGCCCUUCAGAAUCCUGUUUAAGCAUCGUAGAGUUAGAUGAGAGGGAUGGAGACGCUAUAAUGUACAGAUCCUUUGGAGUCAAGCAGGGAAAUGAGAGCAAAAUGUUUGCAGCUGUUGGAAAUGGAGGAGAUUUUGGAUAUUCGGUUUUGCCUUUCACACCGUGCUUCUCCGAGAUGACCAAAGGAUCCAUCGGUGAAUGUGAUUCUGACAUAAAGAUCAACUCUUCUUCUGAGAUGUGGCCGCUGUCUCAAGAGGCUGAACAAUCUUCGUCAUCAUUGCCAAGAUCAGAAAGCUUUUCUCCACUUCAGACGAGGCUUCAGAGAUCACAGCACCUGUCGACUGCCUCAUAAUCCUUUCUGUCAAAUUCACGAACAGGAGGCCAGAAAGUGGAACUCAGUGACUCUCCAAAACCAAGAUCUUCUGCAGCACAACAGGACAAAUCCUCAGAGCUUCUGCCAACAUCAUCCCCUUCACUCCCAAAAAUCAAAUUAAAUCAAACUCUCCCAGGCUUUGAGGACCAUAUUUCCACUGUCAGCCUCUCUCCUGGUGAAAUACCAUCUGUUAGGCCCUCUCAAUGUCAUUUUCCUGCUUUUCUCAUCUCUAAACAAAGUCCAAAACCUCCAGAUUCUCUGUCCCCAAGGUCUUGAUCAGUUUCUUCUCUAGUAAACCCAGUCCAAUCCAGACCUGCUCAUUCAACACCUGUUUCUGAACUGUCUCCAGAACGUGCCAUCACUUCCCCAAGUGCUGCAGUUCCUUCAUUAAAGCUGUCACUUAGAGAAUCAUCACAGUCUGGAUUAGUCUCAUAUAGAAGUAUAUCUACUAUGCCUGUCUAUGACUCCUUCAGUUCUUCUAUGCUGAGGGAUAAAUCUUCUCACCCGGCCUCCGAAUGGUUUAAGGGCUCACGGAGGUCACCCAAAACCAAAGUGUGCUCCUUACAGCUAAACAUGUCAGGUUAGUAUGAUUUCUGUUGGUAAAUUUGAAUUGAAGCUGUCUGAACAUUAAAAAUGUUAGUUAGUUGCAGGGGCGUGUCUAGAGCAUUUUAAAUGGGGUGGCCAGUCUGGGGCACUGGCUGAAAAGAGGGUGGCCGGGGGGGUGGGGUUAUGGUUUGCGGCACGAUGUAUGUUAAAAUACAUCGUGUAUACACUCACUAAACAAAGAGUGGCAGCUUUUUUAGUGGUAAUGAACACUCUUUGCAAGCUUUCUAGUCUAUGAUCCAUUUAAAAUGUAGAACUUUGUUUUUCAGCCACACACGUUGCAAAGUUUCGGGAAUGACAUCUGCAUAUUUAUGUGGGAUUCACUCUCAAAGUAGCAGUGAUUGACACAAUGAUGACCAAAGCGAUAGACGGGAGAAAAUAUGUGAAAAUGGGCAUUAAGACUAUAACUUUAAUUAACUAUAUUUAAUUUAUAGAUCUAAUACAGAUGUAAAUUCUGUCAAUGCUUUUCUGUCAAUGCUCCAGUGAAAAAUACCACAAACCAUACCAUAAAUAAAUCCAUGUAAGAUUUUAUAUGGUCACAUUAUGUAAUUAUAUAUAUAAAUGUUUAAUGUUUUUAAACAUUUAUAUAUUACAUCAUUUUAAUACCUAAAUGUUUCAGAAGACUAUAUAGGGUACAUGUGAUAUUUAAAUCAGAAAUCAAAGGAUUGCUUUGUUGCGUUUAUAUGUAUAUUAAAAAAAAGUUAUGUCGAUUUCCUGAACCUGUUCUGCACAUUGUAAAGACGUCCAAGAAAAUCCUUAGCCCGACGGUCAAAUUUUGAACCUCAUAUCGACGUCCAAGGGACGUUGUAGUUUGACGUCCAGAUAUGAACCGGAUUUGCACGUCGAGUAGACGUCCAGAUAUGGUCCAGACCGACCGACGCAAUUUAGACUUGAUCUGCACGUCGUAUAGACGUCUCAUGUUUGUUGGGUAGAGCAAAUAAAAUAAAUAAUUAAAGCUGCAAGCAGCGAUGAACGGGCCCUCGCACCCGGGCUCACCACCACCGGGUGGCUUUUGUAAAACAGCGAACGGCGAGAAAUAUGCGUUUAAUGUGGUAAAUAUAAGAGGAAUAUGUCAAAGUCAUUUAUAUGUGCCAAUCUUCCUGCUGCCAGCUGGUGGCGCUAUAACUAUAACUGGAUUUUUGGCAUGUACAUUUCUUCAGUCCUUUCCAAAUAUUUGAAGUUUGGUGCAGAUUGGACAUUGCAUGUUUAAGUUAGUGUAAAACAAGCCAUUUCCUGUUGCCAGCAGGUGGCGCUAUGAUUAUAGUGGAAUAUUGACCUUCAGAUGUGUUCAGGCCAAGACUCUUUUUCGAACAUGUGAAGUUUGGGGAAGAUCGGACAUCUUAUGCCUGAGUUACAAUAACUUCUAUUCCCAUGGCGAGACAUCAAACUUUGUCAUGGCGCCAUGGCCACACCCUUUAAUGAAACCUCAAGAUGUUCACAAUUUAACAUCGCAAAGGCCUUUAGAUUAGAUUGACCAAAAAAAAUUAUAAAAUGUCAUACAAUUUCUAGGAGUAGUUUGUUACGGCGUAAAUCAUGUCACUUCCUGUUGCCAGCAGGUGGCGCUAUAGCGAUAUCUGAAUAUUGGCAUGUAGAUAUAUUCAGGUCAGGAGUCUUCUCAAACAUGUGAAGUUUGGGGCAGAUUGGACAUUGUAUGUCUGAGUUAUAGCAACUUCCUUUCUCAUGGCGAAACAUCGAAAUUUGUAAGGCCGCCACAGACACGCCCUUCAACGAAACCUCAAGAUCUUCGCAAUUUAACAUCGCAAAGGCCUUUAGAAUACACUGACAAAGUUUGGUGUUGAUCUGAAUAAAUCUCUAGGAGGAGUUCGUUAAAGUACAACCCCUGAAAAUGGCAAAAACGACACAAAUUUUGCAGAGAAAAUUCAAAAUAACUGACUUCCUGUUGGGAUUCGAAUUUCGUACCAAGAGACUUUUUUGUAGGUAUUGGUGUGUUACAUGUGUGUACCGAUUUUUGUACAUGUACGUGAAACGUAGCUCGAGGCGCACUCCGUUGAAAAUGUAUAGGUGGCGCUAUCGAGGCAUUUUGCCACACCCAAUGGAAUAUUGGCCUUCAGAUUUGUUCAGGCCAGGACUCUUAUCGAACAUGUGAAGUUUGGGCAAGAUCGGACAUUUUAUGCCUGAGUUACAAUAACUUUUAUUCCCAUGGUGAGUCAUCGAACUUUGUGACGGCGCCAUGGACACGCCCUUUAACGAAAACUCAAGAUCUUCACAAUUUAACAUCGCACAGGCCUUUAGAAUAGAGUGACUGAAAAAAAAAAUUUAUGUCAUAAAAUUUCUCGGGGUAGUUUGUUACAGUGUAAAAUAUGUCACUUCCUGUUGCCAGUAGGUGGCGCUAUGACUAUAACUGAAUAUGGGCAUAUCAAUCUGUUCAGGUCAGGAGUCUUAUCAAACAUGUGAAGUUUGUGGCAGAUUGGACAUUGUAUGUCUGAGUUAUAGCAACUUCAUUUUUCAUGGCGAAUCAUCGAAAUUCGUCAGGCCGCCACGGACACGCCCUUCAACGAAAACUCAAGAUCUUCGCAAUUUAACAUCGCAAAGGCCUUUAGAUUAGGCAUACCAAAUUUGGUGUUGAUCUGAAAAAAUCUCUAGGAGGAGUUCGUUAAAAUACAAGGCAUGCAAAUGACAAAAAUGAUGCAAAAUUUGCUCAUAACAUUAAAAAUAACCAACUUCCUGUUGGGUUUCGGAUAUUGCUCCAAGAGUCUUUUUUGUAGGUACUGAUGCUUUACAUAUGUGUGCCAAUUUUCGUGCAUGUACGUGAAACACAGCUCGAGGGCUGUUGAUUUUUUUACGAUAGGUGGCGCUGUCGAGCCAUUUUGCCACACCCUCUUCUGAAACCUAUAUCAGACGUAAAUUUUCACCAGGUCUGACGCGUGUGCAAAGUUUCAGGACUUUUCGAGCAUGUUUAGGCCCUCAAAAAUGCGAUUCAUUUUGGAGAAGAAGAAGAAGAAGAAGAAGAAGAAGAAGAAGAAGAAGAAGAAGAAUAAUAAUAAUAAUAAACAAAGCAGAUACAAGAGGGUCCUCACACCAUCGGUGCUCGGGCCCUAACUAGUGAAGGCUGACUAUAAUCAGCUUGCUUCCAUUUAAUGAGAUAAGCCUACUCCUCAUCUGAAUUAGAAAAAAAGCGCUUCUACGCUUCAGUGAUGCAAGAACGUUUGAGCAUACACGUAAUCUCUGAGCAAAAGCAGAGCCAAUUCAUAAAAGAACAAUGUAUAUUUAAAAGCACACAUCCAGUUUUGUGUGAGUGAAGGAAAUCCACUUGCGAGUGGAGAUUCGUGCUCGCGCAUUACAUGGAUCACGUAACAUUAUGCGCUCUCGAUAUCUGUCAAAUAUCACGCUAUAGAAACAGCCUAAAAUUAAGUAUAAUGAGGAGAAGAAAGCGGUCCUAGGCAGCUACACAUAUGCCAGGAUCCGCCACUGCCAGAUGCAGUUAGAGAUUUACUAAAAACAAGUCUAUCGCAAGACAUCUGGUGGGGGGGCACCUGGGGUGGCCAGCCAAAUUUCAGGGGGGGGCGGUGCCACCCCUGGCCACCACGUAGACACGCCUCUGGUUAGUUGUAUCUAAAUGCAAUUUUGUGCUUGAGCCACUAUGUUUAAAAUUUAUUUAAAAAAUGGUGGCAACAUCAAUAUGGUAAACGACACCAGUGUACAAAAAUUAAUCAUUUUGAGAUUUGUAUAAUUUUAAGAAUUAUAUAUAUAUAUAUAUAUAUAUAUAUAUACACACACACACACAUCAUAUUCAUAUUAUC